rnacentral:rRNA from 1 species
CACUUUAAGAAAUAAUUUAAAGCAUUUCCUGCUCAAUGAUUAUUUAAAUAGCCGCAAUUCCUCUUGUGCUAAGGUAGCAUAAUAAAUAGCCUAUUAAUUGUAGGAUAGAAUGAAAGGAUUAACAGUUUUUAUCUCUAUAACAUUUAUAAAGCAACCUAAAUUAAAAGUAAAAAUUCUUUUAUAAUAAUGAAAGACGAUAAGACCCUACAGAACUUUAACUUAAGUUAAACUGGGGCGGUCCAACAACCAAAUCUUGUACACUCCACCCCAUAUUAACCUUUCCAAUAAAUUUAUUCAAGUUACCUUAGGGAUAACAGCACAAUUUUUAUCUAAAGAACUUAUUUAAAUAAAAGAUUAUGACCUCGAUGUUGAAUUGAGAACUUCUCCUACAAAGCAAAAAUUUAAAAAGAAAGUCUGUUCGACUUUUAAAAUCUCACAUG